GAUGAACGCUGGCGGCGUGCCUAAUACAUGCAAGUCGAGCGAACAGACGAGGAGCUUGCUCCUCUGACGUUAGCGGCGGACGGGUGAGUAACACGUGGAUAACCUACCUAUAAGACUGGGAUAACUUCGGGAAACCGGAGCCAAUACCGGAUAAUAUAUUGAACCGCAUGGUUCAAUAGUGAAAGACGGUUUUGCUGUCACUUAUAGAUGGAUCCGCGCCGCAUUAGCUAGUUGGUAAGGUAACGGCUUACCAAGGCGACGAUGCGUAGCCGACCUGAGAGGGUGAUCGGCCACACUGGAACUGAGACACGGUCCAGACUCCUACGGGAGGCAGCAGUAGGGAAUCUUCCGCAAUGGGCGAAAGCCUGACGGAGCAACGCCGCGUGAGUGAUGAAGGUCUUCGGAUCGUAAAACUCUGUUAUUAGGGAAGAACAAAUGUGUAAGUAACUAUGUACGUCUUGACGGUACCUAAUCAGAAAGCCACGGCUAACUACGUG
rnacentral:rRNA from 1 species